UUUUGCAUUCGUCCUAAAAAACGAAGAUGCGCCACGAAUCGUGCAGGCCUUUUUUAGACGGUGCUGGAAAAACCAAGCUACGAAUUGAAAGCACAAAGGGAAGGACUCCCGAGUACCUUUAGCAUGCACAACACCCGUAAAACAAUUGGAGCACUCAACGAUAAAAAUGAUUGGCAACGCGACGGAGCGAUCAAAAUACCGAGGUUUCCAACACUGUACGCCCCGCAAACUCUUGCGUAAGAGGAGGGGCAGUACAAACAACAUCAUCGAACAUCGUGUUWUGAACCGGGUCCGUUUUCCACGAAGGCAACAUGAAAACCUAGCGUAAUUCAACGCAUAGGUGUGAAAAAGAUGCGGCGCUCGUCAGUUGGCCGCAACAAAGCGGGGAGCCUGAAGUAGCACACACAUCAACAACCACUCACAWGCCGUCACGGUCACAACCCAGCAAAACCCUCCGCCUUUCCCCCAAACGUGAAAAA
rnacentral:rRNA from 1 species